rnacentral:lncRNA from 1 species
GAAAGACAAGGCAGGACAGGGAGGACAAGAGGAAAUGCAUUGGGAUUGUUCAUCUAUCAAAUUUGCAGGAAAGUGUCAGGAAAAUUGAAAGGGAUAGACUGUCUCAAACACUGGCCUCCCACAUGGGGCUGGGGAGCUUUGAAAUAGGACUCAAGUCCCAGCUUCCAGAAACUGGAGGAGAAGGCGGGACCCACUCAGAACCUUC